UAGUCGGGACCGAGGCGGAGGCCGACAGGCGGAGGUGAGGGAAAACAGGUGGUUAUUCCUGUACUACCGAUAACGUUUUGAGAGAAGGGAUGAAACAGUAGGAUAAGCUAAGCACACUGUUGGUUAUGUGUGCCCAAGCAUUGAGGCAGUCAAAGUAGGCAAAUCCGCGUUGAUAAUGCUGGGAUGUGAUGGGGAGCGAAAUUUAGUAGCGAAGUAGCUGAUUUCACACUGUCAAGAAAAGUCUCUAUCGAGGUUAAAGGUACCCGUACCGCAAACCGACACAGGUGGGUGAGGAGAGUAUCCUAAGGCCA
rnacentral:rRNA from 1 species